UACGAAGGGGGCUAGCGUUGUUCGGAAUUACUGGGCGUAAAGCGCGCGCAGGCGGCUAUCCAAGUCAGUGGUGAAAGCCCUGAGCUCAACUCAGGAACUGCAUCCGAAACUGGCGGUCUGGAGUAGUGGAGAGGAAAGCAGAAUUCCUGGUGUAGAGGUGAAAUUCGUAGAUAUCAGGAGGAACACCGGUGGCGAAGGCGGCUUUCUGGACACUUACUGACGCUGAGACGCGAAAGCGUGGGGAGCAAACAGG
rnacentral:rRNA from 1 species